UACGUAGGGGGCAAGCGUUGUCCGGAUUUAUUGGGCGUAAAGAGCGUGUAGGCGGCCAGGUAGGUCUGCUGUGAAAACUCGAGGCUCAACCUCGAGAUGUCGGCGGAAACCAUCUGGCUAGAGUCCGGAAGAGGAGAAUGGAAUUCCCGGUGUAGCGGUGAAAUGCGCAGAUAUCAGGAGGAACACCGGUGGCGAAGGCGGAUCUCUGGGCCAUUACUGACGCUGAGACGCGAAAGCGUGGGGAGCGAACAGG
rnacentral:rRNA from 1 species